rnacentral:rRNA from 1 species
GACGAACGCUGGCGGCGUGCUUAACACAUGCAAGUCGAACGGAAAGGCCCUGCUUUUGUGGGGUGCUCGAGUGGCGAACGGGUGAGUAACACGUGAGUAACCUGCCCUUGACUUUGGGAUAACUUCAGGAAACUGGGGCUAAUACCGGAUAGGAGCUCCUGCUGCAUGGUGGGGGGUGGAAAGUUUCGGCGGGUGGGGAUGGACGCGCGGCUUAUCAGCUUGUUGGUGGGGUAGUGGCUUACCAAGGCUUUGACGGGUAGCCGGCCUGAGAGGGUGACCGGCCACAUUGGUACUGAGAUACGGCCCAGACUCCUACGGGAGGCAGCAGUGGGGAAUAUUGCACAAUGGGCGGAAGCCUGAUGCAGCAACGCCGCGUGCGGGAUGACGGCCUUCGGGUUGUAAACCGCUUUCGCCUGUGACGAAGCGUGAGUGACGGUAAUGGGUAAAGAAGCACCGGCUAACUACGUG